UAUGUCCUCUCCUGGGCGCAAAGACAGCAAGAAAUUAGAAACGAUUUACAGGUCAGAGCAGACAGGCUUCCAUUCCUACAGCUGAAGGGUUUGGGAAGCUGAAAGGCAAAAGCUGCAGCUGCUGCUGUGAUGUGAAGCAACUCUCAUGUUGGUCAAUGCCCAUGGGAAAGGGAAUGAGGAACUCUCAAAGUCUCAGAAUUCCAGCCUCCUGCUCUGUGUUUAGGGAGUGCCAGUGCAUUCUUCUUCUUGGUGAAAACAAUUGUUUCUGAGGAAUACACUGAGGGCAUAUACAUGUGCAGAGGAUAGCCAUACAGAAUGGAUGCGCAGUCCUGGAAAUGCAGACUCACACUGCUCCCUCAGAACCUGAGAUGUGGAGGAAUUUCAAGAACAAGCCUUCUGCUGUUUAUGGACCAGAUGGCCAGAUGGGGAUUCUACCCAGAAAAUACUACCUGAAAUCAGGUAGCAUUCAAAUACUGAGUCUUAAGUACAAUUGUAAGGGUUGCUGGAAACCUUAUAUCUCCAUCUGUGAAAAUGAAAAGUGA
rnacentral:lncRNA from 1 species